rnacentral:rRNA from 1 species
GACGAACGCUGGCGGCGUGCUUAACACAUGCAAGUCGAACGGAAAGGCCCUGCUUUUGUGGGGUGCUCGAGUGGCGAACGGGUGAGUAACACGUGAGUAACCUGCCCUUGACUUUGGGAUAACUUCAGGAAACUGGGGCUAAUACCGGAUAGGAGCUCCUGCUGCAUGGUGGGGGUUGGAAAGUUUCGGCGGUCGGGGAUGGACUCGCGGCUUAUCAGCUUGUUGGUGGGGUAGUGGCUUACCAAGGCUUUGACGGGUAGCCGGCCUGAGAGGGUGACCGGCCACAUUGGGACUGAGGUACGGCCCAGACUCCUACGGGAGGCAGCAGUGGGGAAUCUUGCACAAUGGGCGGAAGCCUGAUGCAGCAACGCCGCGUGCGGGAUGACGGCCUUCGGGUUGUAAACCGCUUUCGCCUGUGACGAAGCGUGAGUGACGGUAAUGGGUAAAGAAGCACCGGCUAACUACGUG